CUACUAUGCAGGAAAAGGGAAGCCGCGAAUUAUUAACCUGUACACAGAAUUAACAUCCCUUCAGAAAACUGCAAAGGAAAGUAUUACGGAUUACAUUAUUCGGGCAGAAACAGCCAUUACCACUCUGAGGAAUGCUGAGGAGACGCUCAGUGACGGACUGUUGAUUGCAAUGAUUCUUAAAGGUUUGCCAGAAUCGUUUAAACCAUUCGCAGUUCAUGUAACACAGAGUGAUGAAACUAUGACUUUUGCAGAAUUUAAGACAAAGCUUAGAAGUUUUGAAAACACUGAAAAGUAUGCUAGGUCAAAUGACGACAACGUUAUGAAAGCGAGUGGUGCAGCUCCUGUGAGAAGAGGAGAGAGAGAGAAAAACGCAGACCCUGAUAAUAUUACGUUAUAAUUGCGGUCAAAAAGGACAUAAAGCCUGGAGAUGUCCAAAUGAACGUCGUAAAAGUCAAAAACAGUGGUGUAGCUAUUGCAAAAGCUCAACACACAAAGACGCAUCUUGCAGACGCAAAAGAAGGGACGACGCAAAACAAGCGACGCAUGAAGAGGACGCAGAUAAACAUGCUGCAUUUGUCUUCAAAACGUGUGAUUAUCAACUAGACGGGCUGAAACAUAAAGGACUAAUGGUUGAUACGGGAGCAACAUCACACAUAAUUACCGACAUCGGAAAGUUUAAGAAAUUUGAGGAGACUUUCCAAACGGGCAAACAUUUCAUUGAGCUUGCGGACGGGACAAGAGCGAGUGGCGUUGCGCUGAAGAGAGGUGACGCGGAGAUAUGUUUGAUUGACAGUGAAGGAAAGCAAGUGAGCACAACGCUAAAGAAAGCACUGUACAUUCCUUCAUAUCCACAAGACAUAUUCUCUGUUAAAGCAGCGACUGCCAACGGGGCUUCUGUUCGUUUUCGACAAGGACAUGACGAGCUCAUCCACAAGGAUGGCACGAGAUUUGAAAUAAAAGAGUAUAAUAGACUGUACUAUCUAAACACUAUAGAUAAGGGAGGAGAUUAUUGUAACGGCUGUUACGACAUUCAAACUUGGCACGAAAUCCUCGGCCACUGCAACUAUGAUGAUGUUUCCAAGUUGCCAGAUAUUGUGGAAGGAAUGGAAAUCAAAGGAAAGAUUGACAAGUCCAAACUGCACUGUGAAGUCUGCACACAAGGCAAAUUUGCGCAAAGCAGGAACAGAGAACCCGAUGCACGUGCCAAAGUCCCACUUGAACUUGUGCACACAGACUUGGCUGGUCCUAUUCAACCAGAGGCUAAAGAUGGUCACAGGUAUGCACUUGUAUUUGUUGAUGAUUUCUCAGGCACAAUAUUUGUUUACUUCCUGAAAGCGAAAAGUGACACUGUAAAGGCUACGGAAAAAUUCCUAGCAGACACUGCUCCUUAUGGUACUGUAAAGUGCAUUAGGUCAGAUAAUGGCACUGAAUUCACAGCAACAAAUUUUCGGUCAUUGCUAAGCAAAAAUCGCAUUAAACAUGAGACCUCUGCACCGUAUUCACCCCACCAAAACGGUACUGCUGAAAGAAGUUGGCGAACAUUGUUUGAAAUGGCCAGAUGCAUGCUCAUUGAGAGUAAAUUACCAAAAGAGUUAUGGACUUACGCUGUGAUGACUGCUGCAGUAAUUUGCAACAGAUGCAUUAAUAACAGAGUAAAGCAGACUCCAUACUACAUGUUGACAGGAAGAAAACCGGAUCUUUCAAAGAUGAGAGUUUUUGGAUCCAUGUGCUAUGCAUACAAACACGACAGAAAGAAGCUAGAUUCACGUUGUGAGAAGGGAAUAUUUGUUGGGUAUGACAAGAAUAGCCCUUCAUACCUGGUGUAUUACACAGACACUGGAAGAGUCCUUAAACACAGGCUUGUCAAAUUCUUCAAGAAAUGUGCUGUCGAGCAGCAAACUCAAACUGACCCACAAAUACCAGAUGAGGAUGUUUAUGGGGGAAGUUAUUUGCCAUCUAAGGUAAGAACAAACAUCACUGAACAGAGUUCAGGGAAGUCUCAAGAUAGUGGAGACAAAACAGAUCUUCAAAAUGAUGAUCAGACUGAAAAUAUUCAGAAUAGAUGCAACCCCAAAAGGAACAGGAAAGCUCCCCAAUACUUAUCUGACUACGUAACUGAUAUUGAAGAUGAUGAUCAGAUACUUACUAAUAUUGACUACUGUUACAGAAUGUGUAAUGUACCACAAACCUUCAAGGAAGCCAUGAGUUCAACCAAAUCACAGAUCUGGAUUAAAGCCAUGGAAGAAGAGAUGGAUUCUCUAAAAGAAAAUGGAACUUUUACGUUGAUGGCUCUACCCGAAGGCAAACAUGCAGUGGGGGGUAGAUGGGUCUAUGCAAUCAAGAACAAUGCAGAUAACAAUGAAACAUAUAAGGCUAGAUAUGUUGCUAAGGGUUAUAGUCAAGUAAUGGGAAGAGACUAUAAGGAAACCUUUUCUCCAACAGCAAAUAUCACAUCAGUUCGUGUCUUGAUGCAAAUGGCAGCACAGUAUGACCUUGUUCUACAUCAGAUGGAUGUGAAAACGGCUUACUUACAUGCUCCAAUUGAUUGUGAGAUCUAUGUGGAACAGCCAGAAGGUUUUGAGGUAAAAUCAAAUACUGGUGAAAAACUUGUCUGUAAACUGAACAAGUCAUUGUAUGGUCUGAAACAGUCAGGUAGAAACUGGAAUAAGUUACUGCAUGAUUACCUGAGUGAAAAUGACUUUAUGCAAAAUCCUGCAGACUCUUGUGUCUACAGCAGACAAACUGGAAAAGAGAGAGUGAUGCUAAUAAUCUGGGUUGAUGAUCUGAUUAUUGCUUCUAGUACCAACGAGUUACUAAAUGGUGUGAAAAGGAUGCUGACAGCUAAAUUCAAGAUGAAAGACCUUGGUAAAUUAAAACAUUUCCUAGGCAUUGAUUUUGAGCAAAUGGAUGGAGUUGUGAAAAUGAAUCAAAAGGGGUACAUCUUAAAAAUACUGGAAAGGUUCAACAUGUCGAAUAGUAAGUCCAGAUCGACCCCAUGUGAACAAAAGCUAGAGUAUAACGGUGAUGGAAACUCUGUAAACCACACAAAGUAUCGUGAAGCAGUAGGUAGUUUGACCUAUCUAAUGACAUGUACUAGACCAGAUCUUAGUUGGGCUGUGAGUAAAUUGUCUCAAUCUAUGUCAAAACCAAAUGAGCAACACUGGUGUACAGUGAAGCAUGUGAUGAGGUAUCUGAAAGGUACAGUAAACCAAGAACUGACGUACAAGAAGAGUAACGAGAAGCUGAAACUUACGGCAUACAGCGAUGCUGACUGGGCAUCAGAUCCAAAUGACAGACGAAGUACGACUGGAUACUGUUUUAGUCUAACCAAAAAUGGUCCCCUCAUUUCCUGGAAGUCAAAGAAGCAGCCUACAGUUGCUUUGUCAACAUGCGAAGCGGAAUAUAUGGCACUGGCUGCGACCACACAAGAAAGUCUGUACCUUGUACAAUUGAUGAAUGGACUGGAAAAUGGAUGUCAGUAUGCACCGGUAAAAAUCUUUGAGGAUAACCAAGGUGCAAUUGCUCUUUCCAAAAACCCUGUUUGUCAACAAAGAUGUAAACACGUUGAUGUUAGGUACCACUUCAUUCGAUCAGCAAUUAGUGAUGGUAAAAUAACAAUUGAGUACUGUCCAACAACAGAAAUGGUUGCUGAUGUGAUGACUAAACCAAUGACGAAGUAUAAGAAAGAAAAGUUUGAAAGCUUUAUGUUUGGGGCAUAAAUGUUGCUGAUACAGGGAUGUAACUGUGUGUUGUAUUGUAAAUGGACCUGUAGAGAAUGAGAGCAAGUGAGGGUGUUGGAGAUUCUAUUCAGUGUGCUCUCAUGUUGGUGAAGUAUCGAUCACAUGACCUUUGUUGUGCGUGAUGUGUUCUGAUGAAGCACGUAUGUAAAUAAAUGUUCUCCCCUUCCGGUUUAAGCAAACCGAUGGUGUGAACGUGUACUUUGUUACCUCCGUUAAGUAUAAUCUAUUUACCACUUCUCAAACGCAGAGAUGGCUGCGCCAACAUGUGGUUUAAAACAUUGUUUUAAACUGAAUGACCGCUGAAAUACUGCUGCCAUCAGUAUCGCUUUUUAAGUGUUUGUUAAAUGCACUUACUAAAACAAUAUGGGAUCCCCAAAAAGUUCUGUUCCACAUUACACCAAGAUUAGACAUGAAGAGCCUGCAAUUGAAAUAAACUAAAAAUGAACAGGAAUUAGCUAAAUGGGCAAGCCUGUUCACAAAGAAAAUGUAGUUGUCCAGUUAGUAAUGACUAACUUGUGUGUCUACAACAUGCCUGUGUGACUCACAUCAGGUCACUUACUUGUGAAGAUGUUAAGUCCAAAUUUUC
rnacentral:lncRNA from 1 species